UCCGAUAUGGUCUAGUGGCUAGGAUUUGCCGCUCUCAAGUAGAGUUGUACGCUCAACCAGCGCCGGCAAGGCCCGGGUUCGAUUCCCGGUGUCGGAA
rnacentral:tRNA from 1 species